CGCGAAUGGCUCAUUACAACAGCUAACAAAUCUACUUGAUCUUGACACAAUCCUACUUGGAUAACUGUGGUAAUUCUAGAGCUAAUACAUGCAUUAAAGCUCUGACCUUCGGGGAAGAGUGCAUUUAUUAGAACAAAACCAAGCGGCUUCGGCUGUUUUCGGUUGACUCAUAGUAACUGAGCUGAUCGCAUGGUCUUGCACCGGCGACGUGUCUUUCGAGUAUCUGCCGUAUCAACUUUCGAUGGUAGUGUAUCUGACUACCAUGGUGAUCACGCGUAACGGAGAAUAAGGGCUCGACUCCGGAGAGUUCGCCUGAGAAAUCGCGAACACAUCUAAGGAAGGCAGCAGGCGCGAAAAUUACCCACUCUCAGCACGAGGAGGUAGUGACGAAAAAUAACGAGACCGUUCUCUUAUGAGGCCGGUCAUCGGAAUGGGUACAAUUUAAACCCUUUAACGAGUAUCUAUGAGAGGGCAAGUCUGGUGCCAGCAGCCGCGGUAAUUCCAGCU
rnacentral:rRNA from 1 species